GUGGGGAAUCUUCCGCAAUGGACGAAAGUCUGACGGAGCGACGCCGCGUGAGUGAAGAAGGUUUUCGGAUCGUAAAGCUCUUUCGUUAGGGACGAACGUGCUCUUUGUGAAUAAUGAGGAGUAAUGACGGUACCUAAAUAAGAAGCCACGGCUAACUACGUGCCAGCAGCCGCGGUAAUACGUAGGUGGCAAGCGUUGUCCGGAAUUAUUGGGCGUAAAGCGCGCGCAGGCGGGAUAUCAAGUCUGUCUUAAAAGUGCGAGGCUCAACCUCGUGAGGGGACAGAAACUGGUAUUCUUGAGUGUCGGAGAGGAAAGUGGAAUUCCAAGUGUAGCGGUGAAAUGCGUAGAGAUUUGGAAGAACACCAGUGGCGAAGGCGACUUUCUGGACGAUGUCUGACGCUGAGGCGCGAAAGCUAGGGGAGCGAACGGGAUUAGAUACCCGGGUAGUCC
rnacentral:rRNA from 1 species